AAUUUCAGAUUCGGCUCCACGAAAACUGUCUUGCAUGCCUCACCCCCACGUCAGGACGACCACAAUGCUGCCAUAUUAAGAUCUCCCAUCACCAGCAUCCUGAUGAUCCCCUUCUCCUGACUCCUGAGCUGAAUCUCUGUUUUCUGGACCCCGUGUCUUCAUUCUAGCUAUACCGUCUUAUUUCGCUGAUGCAACAUCCUGAGAAAAGAUUAUAAAAAUCCCUUGAAAUGAGAACUCGGGUCCACAAUACAUCAUUUGAGCAGGUAUAUAUUUAUCACCAUCUGACAGCUUGUGCCCAUCAACACAGCCUCCUGAGAAGGUCCUCUCCAUCUGGACAACUGACAAGUGAUAAGAGAAAGAAGGAGACACCUGCUCUGAUCAUCUCAGCUUCAAUAGUGAUACUUACAACUUCUCAUGUUCCAGUGGUAAGAAUCAGUCUCAUGAUAACCAGCUAAAUGCAGGCUUUGCCACAUAUGUCAAAAAAUAGUUUUCUAU
ensembl:lncRNA